rnacentral:rRNA from 1 species
GAUCAACGCUGGCGGCGCACAUAAGACAUGCAAGUUGAACGGACUUAAUCGAAAUAUUUAUAUUUUGAAGCGGUUAGUGGCGGACUGGUGAGUAACGCGUAAGGAACCUGCCUAUUAGAGGGGAAUAACAGUGAGAAAUCAUUGCUAAUACCGCAUAUGCCAUAGAUAUCACAUGAUAACAGUGGGAAAGGAGCAAUCCGCUAAUAGAUGGCCUUGCGUCUGAUUAGAUAGUUGGUGGGGUAACGGCCUACCAAGUCGACGAUCAGUAGCCGGACUGAGAGGUUGAGCGGCCACAUUGGGACUGAGAUACGGCCCAGACUCCUACGGGAGGCAGCAGUCGGGAAUAUUGCGCAAUGGAGGAAACUCUGACGCAGUGACGCCGCGUAUAGGAAGAAGGUUUUCGGAUUGUAAAAUAUUGUCGUUAGGGAAGAGAAAGGACAGUACCUAAGGAGGAAGCUCCGGCUAACUACGUG